CCUACGGGCGGCUGCAGUGGGGAAUAUUGCACAAUGGGCGCAAGCCUGAUGCAGCCAUGCCGCGUGUGUGAAGAAGGCCUUCGGGUUGUAAAGCACUUUCAGCGGGGAGGAAGGCGGUGAGGUUAAUAACCUCAUCGAUUGACGUUACCCGCAGAAGAAGCACCGGCUAACUCCGUGCCAGCAGCCGCGGUAAUACGGAGGGUGCAAGCGUUAAUCGGAAUUACUGGGCGUAAAGCGCACGCAGGCGGUCUGUCAAGUCGGAUGUGAAAUCCCCGGGCUCAAUCUGGGAACUGCAUUCGAAACUUGCAGGCUAGAGUCUUGUAGAGGGGGGUAGAAUUCCAGGUGUAGCGGUGAAAUGCGUAGAGAUCUGGAGGAAUACCGGUGGCGAAGGCGGCCCCCUGGACAAAGACUGACGCUCAGGUGCGAAAGCGUGGGGAGCAAACAGGAUUAGAUACCCGUGUAGUC
rnacentral:rRNA from 1 species